rnacentral:tRNA from 1 species
GCAUCGUUAACUCAGCGGCCAGAGUGUUCGCCUGUCUAGCGAAAGGUCGCCGGUUCGACUCCGGCACGGUGCGCCA